GCAUUCAUUUAUUAAAUUUCAUUUUGUUCAACGUAAUCAGUGCGAUAUUUUACGUUUGAAGUGAGAUUCAAAACAAACCGGACAUAGCUUUAUAAUAUAGUUAAUUGCUGCCUUAGUUUGCUAUUAAUAAAUAUUGAAAUGUGCAUUGUUAUUAAGUGCAAUAUCAGUAUUUAGUUCAAAUGUAAUCUUGGGUCAGUCCUAGUUCUAUCUUAAUCAUUCAAAUGACGUCAUUUUUCAUUUUUUGAUGAUCUGUUUUACAAAUUCAAAUGAAGUCAUCAUUUUUUUGUCAUUUUUUACAAUUUCAAAUAUGACGUCACUUGGCGUUGAGGUUUAAACAUAUUUGGAUGUGUCUACAUAUUGUGUUGCAAAUGUCUGGUUAUGUAAUGUAUUUCAGUUGUUUCCUGUAAUUAGUUAAUAUUUCAGUUCUA
rnacentral:lncRNA from 1 species